rnacentral:lncRNA from 1 species
UAUUAAUGAUUCUCUCGAUUGUGUACAUUCUUAUCCUUGAACAUAUUCUCUCCUUUAGGAAGUAUGGUACAAUGGGAAAGAUGCUGGAUUGGAGUCCAGAUCAUGGUUUUCAUAAAUAUGAUGUGAAAACAAAUGAGAAACUUCCCUAUGACUGAUUUGAAGAAACUGAGGCAAACAGAUAUCAAAUGACUUGCCUGGGACCACUCAUCUGAAAGGCCUGGAGAGACUAACAGGAACUGAUACUGAGUGAAAUGAGCAGGGCCAGGAGAUCAUUAUAUACUUCAACAGCACUACUAUAUGAUGAUCAAUUCUGAUGGACCUGGCCAUCCUCAGCAAUGAGAUGAACCAAAUCAGUUCUAAUGGAGCAGUAAUGAACUGAACCAGCUACGCCCAGAGAAAGAACUCUGGGAGAUGACUAAGAACCAUUACAUCGAAUUCCCAAUCCCUGUAUUUUUGCCCACCUGCAUUUUGGAUUUCCUUCACAGUCUAAUUGUACACUAUUUCAGAGUCCAAUUCUUUUUGUACAGCAAAAUAAUGGUUUGGUCUAUACUUAUUGUGUAUUUAAUUUAUACUUUAAUAUAUUUAAGAUCUACUGGUCAUCCUGCCAUCUGGGG